UUUGAUCAUGGCUCAGGGACGAACGCUGGCGGGCGUGCUAAUACAUGCAAGUCGAGCGGACAGAUGGGAGCUUGCUCCCUGAUGUCAGCGGCGGACGGGUGAGUAACACGUGGGUAACCUGCCUGUAAGACUGGGAUAACUCCGGGAAACCGGGGCUAAUACCGGAUGCUUGAUUGAACCGCAUGGUUCAAUUAUAAAAGGUGGCUUUUAGCUACCACUUACAGAUGGACCCGCGGCGCAUUAGCUAGUUGGUGAGGUAACGGCUCACCAAGGCAACGAUGCGUAGCCGACCUGAGAGGGUGAUCGGCCACACUGGGACUGAGACACGGCCCAGACUCCUACGGGAGGCAGCAGUAGGGAAUCUUCCGCAAUGGACGAAAGUCUGACGGAGCAACGCCGCGUGAGUGAUGAAGGUUUUCGGAUCGUAAAACUCUGUUGUUAGGGAAGAACAAGUACCGUUCGAAUAGGGCGGUACCUUGACGGUACCUAACCAGAAAGCCACGGCUAACUACGUGCCAGCAGCCGCGGUAAUACGUAGGUGGCAAGCGUUGUCCGGAAUUAUUGGGCGUAAAGCGCGCGCAGGCGGUUUCUUAAGUCUGAUGUGAAAGCCCCCGGCUCAACCGGGGAGGGUCAUUGG
rnacentral:rRNA from 1 species